UGGGCAACCUGCCCCCUCUCUCUGGGAUAACCCGGAACCGGAGNAUACGA
rnacentral:rRNA from 1 species